GGGAAUCAGGAGCUGGAAGUUGAGUUUCUGUUGGAGAACAUGUGAGUUAAACCCCGUUAUUAUGGAAGCAGCAGCUCGGAGAAAGAUUCAUUGAUGCAGGGAACUGUUCUGUACACUCAGUCUCACCUCAAUCACAAGUCUCCCUUUCUCCGAGCUCAAUGUGUGCAUCAGCAGAUCACUAUAAGAAAAAAAAAUGUCACAGCAUGGAGAAUAAGUUCAUGAUUUUAAUUCCACAACAUUAUUUUGAAAUUGUUAUUUAUGUGGUUUGGAGUUGACUUUCAGAAGCUGGUGAUAUAUACUGCAGUAAGUCUAUGGGUUCUCUGGAUGGCUCAUAGCUGAGGAUAAUAUUGCUACCCAAUCUGAGACAUACCUGUAGUACCAAGAUUGUUACAAGAACUUCCCAGGUGCUUUAGUGCAAUUGAAUCAUUUCUGCUCUGUAAGCUACGUGGCUUCUAGUGAAAAUAAAGCAUGUUUUUACAAACAAUAGAAAGGAGCAAGUUUUCUCAGAGAGAAAAAUACAUCUUGUUUUAAAAAAAAAUCCAGAUGAUAUGAUUUCUAAAAUACAUGUUGUUUUUGUUUUUUUAGCCAGGAUCGUCCUGAAACCAUCAUCACAAAUGGGGCAGUAGUGUGCCGUGAGCUGGCCUGCUUGGAAGUUGAGUUUGACAGUAGGGUGAAAAAAAAACAAUUGGCAGAGAAUGAGCUAACGUUUACAGUGAGAGGAUCAUUUGAAGAAAUGCAGAGAGUUUCACUGGGCUCUGGCUCCCGUUCCCCUCUCCCAGAUCCCACUCUCUUCCACUAUGCCAAAUACAAGCAACCCUCAUUGGAUGUUGCACUCACAAAGAAGAGGAGGAUUCCCAGCUUUGUACGUUACCCCUGAACAUGGUAGUCAACAUGUCAGACAGACCUAUGAACUGACCUUUAUAUAUGAGUAGGCAGCAAGAGAAGAAUAUUUCCAUCUUAACCAAAAGGACCUCCAUGCUUCUUUUCAGUGUGCUUGUGUGCCAUGCAGAGAAAGGAGGAGCAGAAGCAUCCCCCUGACUUUACCUCUGAAGUUGCUCCCUUCUGAGCAGGAAGCAGUCAGCAAGGUAAUCAUCUGCCAACCGUUGAAAAUCCUUUGCAAACUUUCAAAAAUUCCUACUGGUUCCAAAGAUGCAGACAUUAAAGUCCCUCUGUCUUCAUGCAGAACUGAUUGUUUUCUAAGCUCCCUUGCAUCUAGUGUGACACAUAAUAAAGUAAAUUGAUUGGAGCAAAAUAAAUGGAAAAUUCAUGGGAGAAGGAGAAAGAAGAAAAUGUCUGAGCUGCUGCUCGUUCUCCUUAUAUGGUCAUGUCCUUUACCAAGCUGGAAGUCGCUGGAUGCUACUAGGGCAAAAGGGUGAGGCUUAGUCCCCUAGGAGGCA
rnacentral:lncRNA from 1 species